UACGAAGGGGGCUAGCGUUGCUCGGAAUUACUGGGCGUAAAGCGCACGUAGGCGGCUUUCUAAGUCGGGGGUGAAAUCCUGGAGCUCAACUCCAGAACUGCCCUUCGAUACUGGAGCUUGAGUCCGGGAGAGGUGAGUGGAACUGCGAGUGUAGAGGUGAAAUUCGUAGAUAUUCGCAAGAACACCAGUGGCGAAGGCGGCUCACUGGCCCGGUACUGACGCUGAGGCACGAAAGCGUGGGGGAGCAAACAGG
rnacentral:rRNA from 1 species